rnacentral:rRNA from 1 species
AAACAUGUCUUUUAGUUUAUAAUUUAAAGUCUAAUCUGCUCCAUGAAUAAAAUUUAAAUAGCUGCAGUAUUUUGACUGUACUAAGGUAGCAUAAUCAAUUGUUUUUUAAUUAAAAGCUAGAAUGAAUGAUUUCAUAAAAUAAUUAUUGUCUCAAUAAUAUAAAAAAUAAAAUUUUAUUAUAAGUUAAAAUUCUUAUAUUUAUUUUAAAGACGAGAAGACCCUAUAGAUUUUUAUAAUUAAUUAAAAUUUAAAUAAAUUUAAUAAUUUAUAUUUGAAUUUAAUUAUUUUAUUGGGGUAAUGGUUAAAUUUAUAAAAUUUUAAUUUUAUAAAUUCAAUAAUUUUUGAUUUAAUGAUUUUAAUAUUUAAAAUAAAAGAUUAAAAUACCUUAGGGAUAACAGCGUAAUUUUUUUUGAUAGAUCAAAUUGAUAAAAAAGUUUGCGACCUCGAUGUUGAAUUAAGAUAAAAUUUUAAUGAAGAAGUUAAAAAAUUUUGGUCUGUUCGACCAUUAAAAUCUUACGUG